rnacentral:lncRNA from 1 species
AUAAAUUCCUGGUGUGAGGGUAAAAAAUGUAACUGCAGUUCAUGUCGUUUCCAUCCAGUGCUGUCUUAGAGCUGAAAUUUCAUUCUUUCUUUUUAUAAUGGCCUUUUGCUCUGGUUUUAUGCUUUUAUUGAAUAUAUAUGCCACUAAAUGCUAGUGCUUAUAUUUAUUUAUUUAUUGUUUUUAUGCUUUUAGUUUGUGAUUUGCUGACUCCCCUGUUCAAUGCACAUAGAGGCGCUUUCCACAUGAACUUUGAC